ACGGUGGUGGACUGGUAGUGCCCUGGAGUGCCUCGAGCAAGGCACAGAUCGGCCUCGGGGUGCCUGUCCAUGGGGGCACCCCCGAACUCUGACGUCUCUCCGUUAGUGCAUGUAUAGGUCCUGAGCACGUGUGUGUAUUUGGGUCUGUGUAUGUUGUGUGUAACUGUACCAACAGGGUGUAAAAAUGGAAUUGAUAAAGUAUGUAUUCAACUUCUUCUGAACCUUCCGGUGCUGGUCAGACAAACUGCUGGGCAUUACUCAACCGGAGCAGUGUUUAUGUGUGGGGGCGUGUCUGUGUGUGUGAGUGCUGGAGGGGUUGGAGGGCUUUUUAUUUACAUGGUCAACAAGUUGACAUGAGAAGCUGGGUACCACUGCCGCAUCUCAGCUCUUCCUGGCUUCUCUGGCAUUUGUAUUCUUUUCCAAAGCCUUUGGUGGAGCCUAUAUGAAGAGCUCCAUCACCCAGAUUGAGAGGCGCUUUGAUAUCCCUAGCUCCCUCAUAGGGGUUAGAGAUGGCAGCUUCGAAAUGGAAUGACAUUCUUGGGGUUGAUUACUGGACUCUACUUCCUCUCUAACAUGCUCUGGGGAGGUGUCUACCGCACAGUUGUCAAGAGACAGAAGAAGUUAACACUGAGGAAUCAGGCUAAAGAAAAUGGACUAGAGGGUAACGCAGUGGAAAAUGGACACGCCAACAUCAGCACUGGCAAAAACAAAGAAGACGGGGACGACGAGAGCUCUAUUUAAGGUGUUUGGGGAAGGCAACAAUGCAAGUAUUGCAAGUGAACAACACAGAUUCUCUAUUGCCAAAGUACUGUGCUGCAUUUAUAGUGAACCAAAUGUGGUAAUGGCACAGUGUCAGCAGUCUUUGGUCUUCGACCAGUAGCCUACACCUCAUUUUUUUUACAAAGAUAUCAUGCUGAAAAUAUCGACUGCUGUUUGUUUACUUCAAAGGUCAAAGCUUAGUUUUACUAUGAACACCAAUCAAAUUACAUUCAAUUAUAUGCAAUCCACUUCUGCACAAAAACAUCAACUUAGAGGUCAUUUUUAGCUCUACUUCAAAACAAUCAAGAAAACAAAAUGGGUGCUGUUCACUUGUAAUGAUGUUUACGUAUGAAACAAUUUUCAGUAUGAUGUUAGAGGAAGUGAGAAUAAAAUAUGUAAAAUAUUUGGAGAACUUUUGGCUUUUGAGCUUGUGUCCACCAUUUAUACCUGAAUAGCAUUAAGUAAGGUAAAGAUUAUGGAAUGCCGUUUUAAUCAAUAUU